GUUUCUGUAGUUGAGAACAAUAGCGGCUUUUCAAGCCGCAGGCCUUGGGUAGUAGCCGAGCAGAAAUA
rnacentral:tRNA from 1 species